rnacentral:rRNA from 1 species
GACGGAGGCGGCAAGCGUUAUCCGGAAUUAUUGGGCGUAAAGGGUAAGUAGGCGGCUGGUCAAGUCGGGGGUCAAAGGCCACAGCGCAACUGUGGGAAGGCCCUGGAAACUGACCGGCUAGAGUGAGGUAGGGGUUGCGGGAAUUCCCGGUGUAGCGGGGAAAUGCGUAUAGAUCGGGAAGAACACCUGAGGCGGAAGCGCGCAACUUGGCCUCAACUGACGCUGAGGUACGAAAGCUAGGGGAGCGAAUGGG